AGCGAUCCAUGGCCUCGGCCGUACGACGACGGUACGAGAUGGUGCUACAAGCCGCCCCUAGCCGGCGCACGGCUGCAGCCUGCAGGUACCUACCAUCAGAGUUGCAGACGAGUUACAGAGGAGCUACUGGACAAUCUGAGGCAGAAUGGAGUGCGUGGCGCAAGCUGGGGCGGCUGGGAGGACGGGGAGGGAAGGGAGAGACGGCCGGAGCUCGCCGGAGCGGCAUCAGAACCUGCAGAUCGUCGACGGCCGCGUUCGCAUCGCAAGAGGCCCAGGAUUGGAUCGCGAUAUCUGCAUACUGCCGCUAGUUCCGAAUAUUUGCAUAUAGCCCUCAUAUAAUUUACAAAUAGCCCCAUACAACCCUGGAUUUUGCAUUUAGCACCCCGGUCGGGGUCGGCUCGGCCACUGGAUCGAAACCGUGUGAUUGCGGACGACGGCUGGCCGCACGGAGCCGCCGACGUGCCGCGGCGACGUCGAUCUCCUCGCGCUCGGCGCUGGCGACCCCUACUCUCCGACCUUGUCCAGCACCGGCAAAUCCUCGUGGAUUCCUCACAUCUGUUUUCUGAACUGGCUCCAUCUUCUUCGCCUCGGUCAGCAACACCCGAUCCCUCCACCAGUCCACCGGUACUGCAGUAGGAGGUACGCCCUUGUCCGUAUGUGUUUAUCAUCUGAAUUUUGUUGUAUCGAUGCAAUUCAAGCAUUCUAGUCUAGUAAAAAAAAAUGCGAUUCAAGCAUUUCCUUCUGAAAUCUUCCACAAUGUGCUCAUAUUUCUCAUGCCGUGCUGCACAGCAUGUGUUCUGCCUUCCUGCCGAGAUGUGCGGCUUAGCCUGUAGUUAUGGCUUCCAGAAUCAUAAUUAGGGAAUGGACCAAUACUGAAUUCAUGAUGGCAACAUGUGUCCCCUCCCUUUUUUCAACUAACCUAGAGAUGAGAUAAGCACAUGCCUUCAGUUUGUUUAUAUUUUCUCCAUGUUGCUUGUAUUGUGCAUUACGGUACCACCUUCAGUGGUCAGUGGUCACCCUUAUGCCUCAGACCUCAACAGCACAUAGUUCAGUUUCAGAUUUUGCUUCAGAUCUAAGAAAACCCUAGUAUUGAUAUCCGUCUCUGAAGAAUUCAUACAGAGUUGCUAUAAAAUUUGUCCUUGCGCGGAAGAGUUUUUCUCAGUGUUUCUAACAUCACAAUGACAUUUAGUUGUCAGGGUUUGAAAAAAGGAUUGAACUCAGUUUUCCAAAUUCUUAUGAUCAUUGUAUGGAAGUUCUUUCUCUAGGCUGCAGAUUUAUUUUCUAUGAUAACAUCAUAUACAAUUUCCCUUCUCCAUUUUUCUUUAGUUAAUUUUUUUCGGUCAGCUAUAAAUUACGUAAAGUCAUAGUUUUAAAAAAAAGUAAAAUCUACAUCCUGGUCCUCAAUAUUGUUGUCAUAUUAAUAUGAUGUCAGUCUGAAUGUAUAGACUCUUUCUCUUUUGAAGCCACCCUAUAGGUAUAUACGUAAUUUGAUGACCAACAUCUAAGUAAGAAUAGAACUAUAGAAGAACGUAAGUGCUUCUGCAGCAAAUGUAUGUAGGGUUACAAAUAGUUACGCAUUUGCAGGGCAGGGACAUGCAAUAUUUGAAUCACGUGUACUCUCUCAUCCAUUCAUGUCAUCUUGUACAAACCUUGACAGCAGUUUUUUCAGCAAACUUUUGAUGGUUUUCUGUACCAAACCUAGAUAUUUAUGGUCGACUUAAGUACAACUGGCUUCUGAAUUCUAGUCCCCCUAUCUUCCUUCUAUAGUAUACUUAAUUGUGUUACAAAAUAUUAGCUUGAUCGCUAUGUAUCUUCUGCAAAAAGAAACCGAGUUUAUUACUGCUGUUUUCUUCAGUGUUUGUUCAGAAUAUGCUGUAACUGAAGUUGGACAUAUGGACUUAACUACUUGUGCCAAUGUCCAUUGUUGUGAUGCAAAUAAUUCCCUGUCUACUUUUCCCAAUCACCACACUAUUAAAACAGGUAUUCAUCUUCCCAUCUUAAAGCAUCAAUGUUUAUCUGUUGUCAGUGAACAUGCAUCGGUUUAAAAAUCUUAGCACUGAAGCUCAAUGCUGACCCACAUCAAACUCAUAUUACUUUGUCAUUGUUAUCAUACCUCUGCUAAGUGGUGCAGCUUCUUGUCCAGUGUGCUAGGUCGCAGAAGCUAUUCCUUGAAAGGGAGCUUCAACACCAUGUACAUGGGUAGAUUAGGUGACAGAUUAUUUUGCAGUCUAAGAAUAGAAAAGGUUCGAUAGGUCUGUUCUAUGUUUGUUUAAUUUAAUUAUAAUUUGGCAGCUUUAAUUUUUUGUUCCUGUUUUGCUUUUACCUGUUUAUCAUAUUGAAAGUUGUGACACAAGAAAGGGCGCGCGUGACAUGCUUUCCCUUUCUCCCAUUUGUUUUAUACUUACAAGAAGCUUGCAAAAACGUUUGAUACAAGAAUGCCCCCCUUUUUUUGGCUUAAUCACAUGGCACCACUAUCAUGACUCUUUAAUCAAAGCCUCAUCAGUAACGAGCUCUAUUAUACUGCCUUGGGAGGUGAGUUUUGGUUCCUUCUGGGCACACUUGAAGCAAGUACAGCUACCCAAUAAUCCAUACUCAGUAUCUGUCAAUAUCUCCAAUGAAAGUUAAUACAACUUGUUUGUCUUUCCCAUUCAAACGCCUAUCAAGACAAAUACAACUAAGCUUCUGUUGUCAGAUGAGAAAAAAUAUCCUGAUUCCUGACAUACUCAUCAGAAUUUAGACGUCGAAACCUAAUUCCUUUUCAUCCUUUACUAAAGUUUAUUACCUAAGUAUCUUAAAACAGAAUGAAUUGAGAGUAUUUAUGCUUUUGAGAAAACGAGACAUGGUUUUUAGGUCAGCAAAACAACUGUUGACGAGACGGCAGCAUACGUGAAUCUGAGUGAGCUGAGCUUGGAGUGCAACUUGGGGUCUUGAAGUUGCUCGGAAAAAAAAACUCGGGGUCUUGAAGUUGCUCGAAAAAAAAACUUGGGGUCUUGAGGAUUCCUCCAGUGAGCUUGUUUUUGAAAGCACCCCAGUGAGCUUGUUGGCAUACAAAUCCAAGUUGCUCAGAUUCUUUAGGUUUGCCAAUUCCUUUGAGAUAUCACUGUCGCGAUUGUUUCCUGUAAAAUACAGUACAAAUUUGGUUUCCAUAUAUUCAGUCAAGUCCCACAACUUCGUUUUUCUCCCAAUUUAAACCAUAGAAAAUCUGGAAUGCAUCUACACAGUACAAACAAUGGAUUCUUCAAGAUAUUUAGGAUGUCGUUUUAUGGUUGUUAUCUGUUUAAAUUUUGAACGUCCGACAGUUCAGAAUGUAUCGUCUUCAAGUACGUUGUUAUUUUGUCAUGCUUCUAUUCCAUAACCAUAAUUGUAGAAAAUGGACUAAUAACAAGGGCACCGUUUUCUCUUCCUGAUGUUUCGUCUUAGUGAUCCAGCUUAAACUGGCAUGGCUCACCUAGAUCAACCAUCUGCAUUUGAGCUCACCAAUUGAGAACAUGCUGUCCCACCAGGCCUCUGGUUCAGUGGUUUGAAAUUGGAUGUCUGUGGUAAAAGCUGGUUCUGAAUCGAAUGAUCGAUGUGAGGGACUACUGUAUAUGUUUUUCAAAAAGGGAGAAACUUUCAGUGGGAAAAAAGAAACGACUUUCAAAUAUGAUCAUCAACACUACCACACGACUAAGUAUCACAUGUCCAUACUUUCAGUUUAGCUGACCAUAUUUUCUGUGAUGGUAUCUGUUGGACAAGGCUCCAUUGUAAAAAAAAUGACAUUAUUCUUCUAUUUUAACCCUGGUAAUAAAAUGACACCCUUUUGGUAACACAUUUUUCUUAGUUGUGAGUGUUCUAAUUUACUUUGAAACUAGGAUUAUUGAAAGUUGGCUUUCCUUUGAAUAAACAAACAAUAUACUCCCUCUGUUCUGUUUUCUAUGACGCUGGUUAGCUCAAAUUUGAGCUAAGCAGCGUCAAAUAAAAGAGAACAGAGUGAGUAAUUGAAAAGGCACAGUUUUCCUUUGAAUAAACAAAAGAUAUCCCCAAAGUUCCUGUGUAGCAAAUAACUUUGUUUGUUGUUUGGCUCCUCCAGCCAGCCAACAGUAUUUUUAUCUCACACAGCUCCAGCACCAGCCUCCAGCCACCAGCCAGCCAAUAGUGUUUUUCUCUCACACCACUCCAGCACCAGCCACCAGCACCAGCACGGCGAAUAGAGUGAAUUUGCGCUUCAAAUCUCUCAGUAUCGUCUUUUUUACUGUCUUCUUGUUUAUCAAACCGUUGAAAGCAGCUCUCCUCGAGGAAAAAAAGGGGGAAGAGCAGCACUGUUUUAUGUUUGAGAAAUAAAAAGUCCUAAGAAUAAAAAGGGCAAAAGCAGAGUUAUGGGUUAUUUUCAGAACUCAGAUGAUGUGAUCUGGGAGGGCACUAUUUGGUUUUCUGUCUUUCACUCUGGCUUGUUUACUUCCCACCCCAUAAAUCCUGUAAAC